AGGUAAGCUACUAAGAGCGAAUGGUGGAUGCCUUGACUGGUAAAGGCGAUGAAGGACGUACUAGACUGCGAUAAGCUACGGGGAGCUGUCAAGAAGCUUUGAUCCGUAGAUUUCCGAAUGGGGCAACCCAAUGUAUAGAGAUAUACAUUACCUAUAUAGGAGCGAACGAGGGGAAUUGAAACAUCUUAGUACCCUCAGGAAAAGAAAUCAAUAGAGAUUGCGUCAGUAGCGGCGAGCGAAAGCGUAAGAGGGCAAACCCAGUGCUUGCACUGGGGGUUGUAGGACUGCAAUGUGCAAGAGGUGAGUUUAGCAGAACAUUCUGGAAAGUAUAGCCAUAGAGGGUGAUAGUCCCGUAUGCGAAAAACAAACCUUAGCUAGCAGUAUCCUGAGUAGGGCGGGACACGAGAAAUCCUGUCUGAAGCUGGGUCGACCACGAUCCAACCCUAAAUACUAAUACCAGAUCGAUAGUGCACAAGUACCGUGAGGGAAAGGUGAAAAGAACUGAGGUGAUCAGAGUGAAAUAGAACCUGAAACCAUUUGCUUACAAUCAUUCAGAGCACUAUGUAGCAAUACAGUGUGAUGGACUGCCUUUUGCAUAAUGAGCCUGCGAGUUGUGGUGUCUGGCAAGGUUAAGCAAACGUGAAGCCGUAGCGAAAGCGAGUCUGAAUAGGGCGCUUAGUCAGAUGCUGCAGACCCGAAACGAAGUGAUCUAUCCAUGAGCAAGUUGAAGCUAGUGUAAGAACUAGUGGAGGACUGAACCCAUAGGCGUUGAAAAGCCCCGGGAUGACUUGUGGAUAGGGGUGAAAGGCCAAUCAAACUUCGUGAUAGCUGGUUCUCUCCGAAAUAUAUUUAGGUAUAGCGUUGUGUCGUAAUAUAAGGGGGUAGAGCACUGAAUGGGCUAGGGCAUACACCAAUGUACCAAACCCUAUCAAACUCCGAAUACCUUAUAUGUAAUCACAGCAGUCAGGCGGCGAGUGAUAAAAUCCGUCGUCAAGAGGGAAACAACCCAGACUACCAGCUAAGGUCCCUAAAUCUUACUUAAGUGGAAAACGAUGUGAAGUUACUUAAACAACCAGGAGGUUGGCUUAGAAGCAGCCAUCCUUUAAAGAAAGCGUAAUAGCUCACUGGUCUAGUGAUUUUGCGCGGAAAAUAUAACGGGGCUAAAGUAAGUACCGAAGCUGUAGACUUG
rnacentral:rRNA from 1 species